UACGGAGGGUGCAAGCGUUGUCCGGAUUUAUUGGGUUUAAAGGGUGCGUAGGCGGCCCGGUAAGUCAGUGGUGAAAGCCUCCAGCUCAACUGGAGAACUGCCAUUGAUACUGCCGGGCUUGAGUACAGACGAGGUUGGCGGAAUUGAUUGUGUAGCGGUGAAAUGCAUAGAUACAAUCAAGAACUCCGAUUGCGAAGGCAGCUCGCUAAGCCAUAACUGACGCUGAGGCACGAAAGCGUGGGGAGCAAACAGG
rnacentral:rRNA from 1 species